GUCGUGAGGAAGGCGGCGUCGUUAAUAGCGGCGUUGUUUGACGUUAGCGACAGAAGAAGCACCGGCUAACUCCGUGCCAGCAGCCGCGGUAAUACGGAGGGUGCGAGCGUUAAUCGGAAUUACUGGGCGUAAAGCGCAUGCAGGUGGUUUGUUAAGUCAGAUGUGAAAGCCCGGGGCUCAACCUCGGAAUAGCAUUUGAAACUGGCAGACUAGAGUACUGUAGAGGGGGGUAGAAUUUCAGGUGUAGCGGUGAAAUGCGUAGAGAUCUGAAGGAAUACCGGUGGCGAAGGCGGCCCCCUGGACAGAUACUGACACUCAGAUGCGAAAGCGUGGGGAGCAAACAGGAUUAGAUACCCUGGUAGUCCACGCCGUAAACGAUGUCUACUUGGAGGUUGUGGCCUUGAGCCGUGGCUUUCGGAGCUAACGCGUUAAGUAGACCGCCUGGGGAGGACGG
rnacentral:rRNA from 1 species